rnacentral:rRNA from 1 species
UGGUGGUGUAGGGGUAAAAUCCGUAGAUAUCACCAAGAAUACCCAUUGCGAAGGCGAUCUGCUGGAACUCAACUGACGCUAAGGCGCGAAAGCGUGGGGAGCAAACAGGAUUAGAUACCCUGGUAGUCCACGCCCUAAACGAUGUACACUAGUUGUUGGGGUGCUAGUCAUCUCAGUAAUGCAGCUAACGCAUUAAGUGUACCGCCUGGGGAGUACGGUCGCAAGAUUAAAACUCAAAGGAAUAGACGGGGACCCGCACAAGCGGUGGAGCAUGUGGUUUAAUUCGAAGAUACGCGAAGAACCUUACCUGGGCUUGAUAUCCUAAGAACCUUUUAGAGAUAAGAGGGUGCUAGCUUGCUAGAACUUAGAGACAGGUGCUGCACGGCUGUCGUCAGCUCGUGUCGUGAGAUGUUGGGUUAAGUCCCGCAACGAGCGCAACCCACGUAUUUAGUUGCUAACGGUUCGGCCGAGCACUCUAAAUAGACUGCCUUCGUAAGGAGGAGGAAGGUGUGGACGACGUCAAGUCAUCAUGGCCCUUAUGCCCAGGGCGACACACGUGCUACAAUGGCAUAUACAAUGAGACGCAAUACCGCGAGGUGGAGCAAAUCUAUAAAAUAUGUCCCAGUUCGGAUUGUUCUCUGCAACUCGAGAGCAUGAAGCCGGAAUCGCUAGUAAUCGUAGAUCAGCCAUGCUACGGUGAAUACGUUCCCGGGUCUUGUACUCACCGCCCGUCACACCAUGGGAGUUGAUUUCACUCGAAGCCGGAAUACUAAACUAGUUACCGUCCACAGUGGAAUCAGCGACUGGGGUGAAGUCGUAACAAGGUAACCGUAGGAGAACCUGCGGUUGGAUCACCUCCUUUCUA